rnacentral:rRNA from 1 species
UACGUAGGGUCCGAGCGUUGUCCGGAAUUAUUGGGCGUAAAGGGCUCGUAGGCGGUUCGUCACGUCGGGAGUGAAAACUCGGGGCUUAACCCCGAGCCUGCUUCCGACUACGGGCAGGACUAGAGGUGAGGCAGGGGGAGAGCGGAACUCCUGGUGUAGCGGUGGAAUGCGCAGAUAUCAGGAAGAACACCCGUGGCGAAAGCGGCUCUCUGGAACGGCACUGACGCUGAGACGCGAAAGCGUGGGGAGCGAACAGG